UAUUGUAUUGGUACAAAUAAUUAUGGAAAAAAGGGAUUAACUACAAUGUCUUAGACCAACAUUAUAGUGGUAUUUUUUCUUUGCAAAAUUGGGGUAUCUUACUUUUUUAAGAUACCACCAAUAAUGGGUACCAUUAUUGGCGGGAUCUUAGCUUCUUAAGAUCCCGCCAAUAACGUUGGUCAUAAAAGUGUCAAAUAGUACUGAAAUCCUGUUUUUUUAAAAAAAAAUCAAAAAUCCAGUGUUUAUGUUGGGCCAUGUUCGUUUCUCCAUCCAGAUGGACCAUUUACAUGAAUCAUCCAGAUGAUGUUCGUUUAAC
rnacentral:lncRNA from 1 species